rnacentral:rRNA from 1 species
AGUACCUCAGGAAUAAGGGACGGCUAAAUAUGUGCCAGCAGCCGCGGUAAUACAUAUGUCCCAAGCGUUACCCGGAAUUACUGGGUGUAAAGCGUUCGUAGGCGGAAAGACAAGUUGAACAUGAAAGACCGGAGCUCAACUCCGAGUUUGUAUUCAAAACUAUUUUUCUAGAAUUAGGGAGAGGUAAGCGGAAUUCUGUGUGUAGGGGUGCAAUCCGUAGAUACACAGAGGAACACCAAAAGCGAAGGCAGCUUACUGGAACUAUAUUGACGCUGAGGAACGAAAGCGUGGGUAGCGAAAAGGAUUAGAUACCCUUGUAGUCCACGCCGUAAACGAUGAUAACUAAGUGUUGCAACUUGAUUGCAGUGCUGUAGCUAACGCGUUAAGUUAUCCACCUGAGGAGUACGGUCGCAAGAUUAAAACUCAAAUGAAUUGA